UACGGAGGGGCUAGCGUUAUUCGGAAUUACUGGGCGUAAGCGCACGUAGGCGGACCAGAAAGUCAGAGGUGAAAUCCCGGGGCUCAACCCCGGAACUGCCUUUGAAACUCCUGGUCUUGAGGUCGAGAGAGGUGAGUGGAAUUCCGAGUGUAGAGGUGAAAUUCGUAGAUAUUCGGAGGAACACCAGUGGCGAAGGCGGCUCACUGGCUCGAUACUGACGCUGAGGUGCGAAAGCGUGGGGAGCAAACAGGAUUAGAUACCCCCGGUAGU
rnacentral:rRNA from 1 species